rnacentral:rRNA from 1 species
GAUGAACGCUGGCGACGUGGAUAAGGCAUGCAAGUCGAACGAGGCCUAGAGCCGAGUGGCAGACGAGGUAGUAACACGUAGGAAUCUCCCCCUUAGUCAGGAAUAACUACAGGAAACUGUAGCUAAUACUUGAUGGUCCCGAAAGGGUAAAGCUUUAGCGCUAAGGGAAGAGCCUGCGGGGUAUCAGCUAGUUGGUAGUGUAAUGGACUACCAAGGCUAUGACGCCUAGGGGAGGUGAGAGCCUGACCCCCACCGAUGGUACUGAGACACGGACCAUACACCUACGGGUGGCCGCAGUCGAGAAUCUUCCGCAAUGGACGAAAGUCUGACGGAGCGACGUCGCGUGGUCGAUGAAGCACUUAGGUGCGUAAAGACCUUUUAUGAGGGAGGAAGUUUAUUGACGUUACCUCAUGAAUAAGGGGCUCCUAAACUCG